GUCGAACGGUAGCACAGAGAGCUUGCUCUCGGGUGACGAGUGGCGGACGGGUGAGUAAUGUCUGGGAAACUGCCUGAUGGAGGGGGAUAACUACUGGAAACGGUAGCUAAUACCGCAUAACGUCGCAAGACCAAAGAGGGGGACCUUCGGGCCUCUUGCCAUCACAUGUGCCCAGAUGGGAUUAGCUAGUAGGUGGGGUAACGGCUCACCUAGGCGACGAUCCCUAGCUGGUCUGAGAGGAUGACCAGCCACACUGGAACUGAGACACGGUCCAGACUCCUACGGGAGGCAGCAGUGGGGAAUAUUGCACAAUGGGCGCAAGCCUGAUGCAGCCAUGCCGCGUGUGUGAAGAAGGCCUUCGGGUUGUAAAGUACUUUCAGCGGGGAGGAAGGUGUUGAGGUUAAUAACCUCAUCGAUUGACGUUACCCGCAGAAAAAACACCGGCUAACUCCGUGCCACCAGCCGCGGUAAUACGGAGGGUGCAAGCGUUAAUCGGAAUUACUGGGCGUAAAGCGCACGCACGCGGUCUGUCAAGUCUGAUGUGAAAUCCCCGGGCUCAACCUGGGAACUGCAUUCUAAACUGUGAGGCUAGAGUCUUGUAGAGAGGGGUAGAAUUCUAGGUGUAUCGGUGAAAUGCGUAUAGAUCUGG
rnacentral:rRNA from 1 species